rnacentral:sRNA from 1 species
UAAGUCUCCGUCAAGCAGUCAAAUGCGAGGCAAGCUUGCUUGCAGGAGCAUUUGACUAUUUGACGGGACAACAGGUAUGAGCAUGAAGCGCUGCUGCUUUUUGCAGCGUGGAAUGCGAAUACCUGUCAGCGGUAUAGGAGCUGCGGCAGCAGCGAAUACCGCGUAAGACUUA